UCUCCAUCUGGGCUAGUUUGGGCUU
rnacentral:miRNA from 1 species